rnacentral:lncRNA from 1 species
GUAGCUGCUACCCAGCUAGCUAGAGAAUAGAGAAUGAGAUUUUAUUUACAAGUUUAACAAUGUUCUGUGUUCAGUUGUUCACGCACGAAUGGGAGAAGCUGUGGAAAGCCCAAGAGGGUUCCUGCAGGGUCUGAUUAUGUUUCGGUCUUUUACAGUUUAAUUAUCUGCGGGUUUUUUCGUGCAAAUCUUUACUUUUAUUGAGACGGACGAUUAGAUACACAAACAAUCACGAUCCGUUCGAGCGUUGGUGAGACAACCGCUUUGAUCGUUUUGGAUUUGAGGGUCGAUUUAAUUUUCUAUCGAUAUUUUAUCAUUUGGCUAAUUAGCAGAUUAGUGUCGUCUGCUUUCGUUUUGUUUACAAGUUAUUUACGAAAAAGAGAAUAAGUUCCAGAUUACAAAGUCAAAACGAACACUUUGUGCACGAGAAAUUAGCAGAACAAGUAAAAUUACAAAAAUGUGGUCGUCGCGUGAACUUUGUGGUGUCACCAUGCUCUCCACUCUGUUCUCAGAUUGGAGGCCUGAGCCAGCCAUAUUGGCAACACGAUAUGCAAGUUUUGCUUUUGCUGCUAUCUGAUCUAUGUCAUCAGCAGCAAUCUCAGUUUCAUCGCUUGGGCAAACAGCAUCCCAUCUAAUUGGUGACAUUCUUCCCAUAUGAGUGUGGGUUCACGACGAGUCUGAGGCCCCUUUUUCCCACCUGCUGGUGGAUUCAACACUUAACUGCGGAUGGAUGGAGCACUUGUGGAUGCCUGGCCAGGCUUAAAAGGUAGGACAAAUGUAAAUUUAUUCUUUCCUAUUUGACUAUGUGGUGGUUGCUUUGAUUAUAAAUCGUUACAUAGUAUAUACGCGGGUUAACGAUUGAGACUAGAACAUUUUAUGACCAUGAGGGACCUGGUGCCGCCACACCGGCACCUCCUCGUUACGCUAGUCCCGCGGGAUAAUUUGAAUGAGAGAGAAUUUCUUUGUUUUUUUUGUUUGUGGUUCUCCAUUCACGAAUGUUUGGACGACUCGAUAACAAUUUGAAUUCGAGAAUGCCGGCGGGUAACAACAGCCCCGUCCCUUCGGUAAUGAUCCGUCAUCACCCAGAGCCUUAUGAGAUAAUAAAUCGUAUAAUCGAAUCAGAGAAAAUAUGCACAGCUGGUGCCCUCGGGCGCCAAUCUAAAAGACUGGCCGGAUCGACACACUAAUACAUAACCAUUCACGUCAUUCGUAACACGAUCAUCUGCGAUAUGCAACACGACUUAAUUGUUACGAAACGCAUUCGUGAUGAAUUAUUUCAACCUAAAAAUAAGAAUUAAAAGAAAAACAAAAAUGUUUCUUUUUUCUCUUUCGGGAGUGGCUGAAUAGAACAGCAGGUGCCGUGAUGGAAUUCAAUAGGAAAAAAGGAGACGAUUAUUUCUCACUCUACCGUACACUGUACACGUUAUUAAAAUGUUACGCCAUUUUGAUUUAAAAAAGAAGAAUGUUUUAAUGGGGUGUCUAUCACAUGUAUAUACGGUCGUGACUGACCACCCGCGAAUCUAAUCUUUUUCAUCAGCUGGGGAAAAUCAUGUCAUCAUCUUCCAACAGCAACGGUGGGGGCAAAGGUUUUUUUAAUAAUAGAAUUAUUCACGCAACCAUCACUUGGGCUUCAAGAUCAUUACCUAUUCGCCCGAGGGCAUUGUAGAUUUUUUUAUUUCGAAUUCUUCACGGCCUUCAUCUUUUUUAAAUUAUAAUUUUAAAAAAUAAAAUUGUUACACAUUUUCUGAAUGCGAAAAAUUUUUUUCGAUAUUUUUAUUUUUUUUUGGGGACUGGCAUUGUUUCAUCCAUUUUCAUUCGUGUCAGUUAUUAGAAGAAACAGAAAAGAUCAGGCAGAGGGGGCAAAACUAAAAAUCCUUAAUUUUUUGGCAAUCUCCAUCUGUACAACCGAGUUUUGAUCGAUGGUUUUCCAUUUCUUUUUUCUUCUUCUCUCUGAAAUAAAAUUCGGCCCCUCCCACUCGGUUGGGUGCGAAUACAGCACGCCAAAAAAACAUCAUCCGUCAUCUGCCUUUUUCUAAUACUUUGGCUGGACACUGUGAGCUGUGUGCUGGCCGCCCCCCUCAUGUUGGCAGUCCCAUUUGGACGGAAUUUGUUACAACAGCAAAUGCUGCUCUUUUUAUUAUUAUAGGAAGGAAAACUUAUCUCGUAAAUGAUAAUGCGGAGAAAAUAAAACAAACAAAAAUUCGUUUCCGUUUUAUUUUUUCGUGAAAGUAUAAAACAAUCGAAAAAUAAAACAUUUUCGGAUGGCGCCAAAAGUAUUU